rnacentral:tRNA from 3 species
GGGGGGAUGCCCGAGUGGCCAAAGGGAGCAGACUGUAAAUCUGUCGGCGCUGCCUACGGAGGUUCAAAUCCUCCUCCCCCCACCA